GCCUCGGUGGUCGAGCUGGUUAAGACGCCCGCUCCGGAAAAUCGGGAUGUCCCAGGUUCAAAUUCUGGCUGAGGUA